UACGUAGGGUGCAAGCGUUGUCCGGAAUUAUUGGGCGUAAAGAGCUCGUAGGCGGUUUGUCGCGUCGGCUGUGAAAACCUGGGGCUCAACCCCGGGCCUGCAGCCGAUACGGGCAAACUAGAAUUCGGUAGGGGAGACUGGAAUUCCUGGUGGUAGCGGUGAAAUGCGCAGAUAUCAGGAGGAACACCGGUGGCGAAGGCGGGUCUCUGGGCCGAUAUUGACGCUGAGGAGCGAAAGCGUGGGGAGCAAACAGG
rnacentral:rRNA from 1 species